UUUUCAUAAAAAAAAAGAUAAUGAAAAGAAAAUUUUUCUGUGAAAUAUGAAAAAUAAUUUUUAAAAAAAUCUAUUUUUCAAACUCACGGAAAAAAAAUUUUUAGCGUAAAAUAAAUUUUCUGAGAUACUUUUCAAGAAACCAAACAUGCCCUAAAGAGAGAAAAACUUUGAGUGGGGUAUUUUUCAGCAACGCUUCGUUGGGGAGGUUCAAUCCGUCACCACGUGUCACUAUUAUUUCUAUCAAAAAAUUAUAAUUUUUUGCUCUAAUAUUAAAUAUAAAAAUAUUUAAAUAUUAUUUUUUACUGGCUUAAAUUUUUAGAAAAUAACGAUUGUUUCAUCUUAUAUAAUAUGGUAUCAGAACAGAAAAUUCGGAAUUUGAGUCAGCUAAACGAACUAUUGGAUAGACGUAAAAUUUAAUUAAUACAUAAUAGUAGAUCAAAAAUUCCCAACGAGACGUUAUUGGGGAGCUCCCCACUCAAGUUUAUCUAUAUCUAUGCUACCGCACGUUUUUCAUUCUCUUUUCUUCUUUUCCAAAAUCAUCCCUUCCUCAUAAUACAAUACCGAUCAUAUUCUAUCAAUAUGAGCUAUCAGAGAAAAGUAAACAAAAGAGAAGGUGACCAAAAAAAGCAACUUUUCCACAUCUAAUGAUAUACUAGUGAAGGACCCGCGCGUUGCGGCGGAACGACUUCAUAGAAAUAAAUAAAUAAAUAAAUUUAAAAAUAACAAAAUAAAGAGUUAAAAAAUUAUAUAAUAUAAACAACCGAAAAAUAAACAAUUAAUUAAAAUUUGAGAAUAAAAAUAUCACAUACCUCAUUAUUUAAAUCAUAAUACAUUAAAAUGUGGGGAUUAAACUGUUAUUCGUCCUAUAUUUUUAUUUUAAGGAUGAAAGUGUAAAUUCAAUCUUUCAAUUUUUUUUAUCCAACUUUUUAUAUGUUAGAUUUGAGCAAGUCAACGAUAUUUUGACAAUUCUCGCAAUUAAAUUUUAUAAAAUAUAAAAUUAAUUUAAAUUCUAUCAAUCUUUUUUUUUUAAUGUAUAAUCUAGCUAUAUCUAAAUGCUCAAUAUUGUAAUUUUAAAAUUUAUAUUUAAUACAAAUAAUAUAAACUAUUUAAAAUUUAUUUAUAUAUUUUAAAUUUUUAUAGUACAAAAUACUUCUAU
rnacentral:lncRNA from 1 species